rnacentral:rRNA from 1 species
UCGAGCGGCGGACGGGUGAGUAAUGCCUAGGAAAUUGCCCUGAUGUGGGGGAUAACCAUUGGAAACGAUGGCUAAUACCGCAUGAUGCCUACGGGCCAAAGAGGGGGACCUUCGGGCCUCUCGCGUCAGGAUAUGCCUAGGUGGGAUUAGCUAGUUGGUGAGGUAAGGGCUCACCAAGGCGACGAUCCCUAGCUGGUCUGAGAGGAUGAUCAGCCACACUGGAACUGAGACACGGUCCAGACUCCUACGGGAGGCAGCAGUGGGGAAUAUUGCACAAUGGGCGCAAGCCUGAUGCAGCCAUGCCGCGUGUGUGAAGAAGGCCUUCGGGUUGUAAAGCACUUUCAGUCGUGAGGAAGGUAGUGUAGUUAAUAGCUGCAUUAUUUGACGUUAGCGACAGAAGAAGCACCGGCUAACUCCGUGCCAGCAGCCGCGGUAAUACGGAGGGUGCGAGCGUUAAUCGGAAUUACUGGGCGUAAAGCGCAUGCAGGUGGUUUGUUAAGUCAGAUGUGAAAGCCCGGGGCUCAACCUCGGAAUUGCAUUUGAAACUGGCAGACUAGAGUACUGUAGAGGGGGGUAGAAUUUCAGGUGUAGCGGUGAAAUGCGUAGAGAUCUGAAGGAAUACCGGUGGCGAAGGCGGCCCCCUGGACAGAUACUGACACUCAGAUGCGAAAGCGUGGGGAGCAAACAGGAUUAGAUACCCUGGUAGUCCACGCCGUAAACGAUGUCUACUUGGAGGUUGUGGCCUUGAGCCGUGGCUUUCGGAGCUAACGCGUUAAGUAGACCGCCUGGGGAGUACGGUCGCAAGAUUAAAACUCAAAUGAAUUGACGGGGGCCCGCACAAGCGGUGGAGCAUGUGGUUUAAUUCGAUGCAACGCGAAGAACCUUACCUACUCUUGACAUCCAGAGAACUUUCCAGAGAUGGAUUGGUGCCUUCGGGAACUCUGAGACAGGUGCUGCAUGGCUGUCGUCAGCUCGUGUUGUGAAAUGUUGGGUUAAGUCCCGCAACGAGCGCAACCCUUAUCCUUGUUUGCCAGCGAGUAAUGUCGGGAACUCCAGGGAGACUGCCGGUGAUAAACCGGAGGAAGGUGGGGACGACGUCAAGUCAUCAUGGCCCUUACGAGUAGGGCUACACACGUGCUACAAUGGCGCAUACAGAGGGCGGCCAACUUGCGAAAGUGAGCGAAUCCCAAAAAGUGCGUCGUAGUCCGGAUUGGAGUCUGCAACUCGACUCCAUGAAGUCGGAAUCGCUAGUAAUCGUGGAUCAGAAUGCCACGGUGAAUACGUUCCCGGGCCUUGUACACACCGCCCGUCACACCAUGGGAGUGGGCUGCAAAAGAAGUAGGUAGUUUAACCUUCG